GAUGAACGCUGGCGGCGUGCCUAAUACAUGCAAGUCGAGCGAACAGACGAGGAGCUUGCUCCUCUGACGUUAGCGGCGGACGGGUGAGUAACACGUGGAUAACCUACCUAUAAGACUGGGAUAACUUCGGGAAACCGGAGCUAAUACCGGAUAAUAUAUUGAACCGCAUGGUUCAAUAGUGAAAGACGGUUUUGCUGUCACUUAUAGAUGGAUCCGCGCCGCAUUAGCUAGUUGGUAAGGUAACGGCUUACCAAGGCAACGAUGCGUAGCCGACCUGAGAGGGUGAUAGGCCACACUGGAACUGAGACACGGUCCAGACUCCUACGGGAUGCAGCAGUAGGGAAUCUUCCGCAAUGGGCGGAAGCCUGACGGAGCAACGCCGCGUGAGUGAUGAAGGUCUUCGGAUCGUAAAACUCUGUUAUUAGGGAAGAACAAAUGUGUAAGUAACUAUGCACGUCUUGACGGUACCUAAUCAGAAAGCCACGGCUAACUACGUG
rnacentral:rRNA from 1 species